CCUACGGGAGGCUGCAGUGGGGAAUAUUGGACAAUGGGCGAAAGCCUGAUCCAGCCAUGCCGCGUGUGUGAAGAAGGCCUUCGGGUUGUAAAGCACUUUCAGUGGGGAAGAAAGCCUUGGGGCUAAUACCCUCGAGGAAGGACAUCACCCACAGAAGAAGCACCGGCUAACUCCGUGCCAGCCGCCGCGGUAAUACGGAGGGUGCGAGCGUUAAUCGGAAUUACUGGGCGUAAAGCGCGCGUAGGCGGUCUGAUAAGCCGGUUGUGAAAGCCCCGGGCUCAACCUGGGAACGGCAUCCGGAACUGUCAGGCUAGAGUGCAGGAGAGGAAGGUAGAAUUCCCGGUGUAGCGGUGAAAUGCGUAGAGAUCGGGAGGAAUACCAGUGGCGAAGGCGGCCUUCUGGACUGACACUGACGCUGAGGUGCGAAAGCGUGGGUAGCAAACAGGAUUAGAUACCCCUGUAGUC
rnacentral:rRNA from 1 species